rnacentral:misc_RNA from 1 species
UCCGGUUUGUCACCGGCAGUCCCAUUAGAGUGCCCAACUGAAUGUGGCAACAUCGAACGAGGGUUGCGCUCGUUGCGGGACUUAACCCAACAUCUCACGACACGAGCUGACGACAGCCAUGCAGCACCUGUGUUCCGAUUCCCUUUCGGGCACACCCGCCUUUCAGCAGGCUCUCGGACAUGUCAAGGGUAGGUAAGGUUUUUCGCGUUGCAUCGAAUUAAUCCACAUAAUCCACCGCUUGUGCGGGUCCCCGUCAAUUCCUUUGAGUUUUAGCCUUGCGGCCGUACUCCCCAGGCGGGGUGCUUAAUGCGUUAGCUUCGGCACGGAGGGAGUCGACACCCCCCACACCUAGCACCCAUCGUUUACGGCGUGGACUAC